rnacentral:rRNA from 1 species
UACGGAGGGUGCAAGCGUUAGUCGGAAUGAUUGGGCGUAAAGGGCGCGUAGGCGGGGAUGUAAGUCAAACGUGAAAUCCAGGGGCUCAACCCCUGGACUGCAUUUGAAACUGCAUUUCUUGAGGAAAGGCGGAGAAAACGGAAUUCCAUGUGUAGCGGUGAAAUGCGUAGAUAUAUGGAAGAACACCUGUGGCGAAAGCGGUUUUCUAGCUUACUCCUGACGCUGAGGCGCGAAAGCAAGGGGAGCAAACAGG